rnacentral:tRNA from 1 species
GCCGCUAUCGUCUAGUCUGGUCCAGGACACGGGCUUUUCAAGCCCGGUACCCGGGUUCAAAUCCCGGUGGCGGCG